rnacentral:rRNA from 1 species
CAAGUCGAACGGUAACAGGAAGCAGCUUGCUGCUUUGCUGACGAGUGGCGGACGGGUGAGUAAUGUCUGGGAAACUGCCUGAUGGAGGGGGAUAACUACUGGAAACGGUGGCUAAUACCGCAUAACGUCGCAAGACCAAAGAGGGGGACCUUCGGGCCUCUUGCCAUCAGAUGUGCCCAGAUGGGAUUAGCUUGUUGGUGAGGUAACGGCUCACCAAGGCGACGAUCCCUAGCUGGUCUGAGAGGAUGACCAGCCACACUGGAACUGAGACACGGUCCAGACUCCUACGGGAGGCAGCAGUGGGGAAUAUUGCACAAUGGGCGCAAGCCUGAUGCAGCCAUGCCGCGUGUAUGAAGAAGGCCUUCGGGUUGUAAAGUACUUUCAGCGGGGAGGAAGGUGUUGUGGUUAAUAACCGCAGCAAUUGACGUUACCCGCAGAAGAAGCACCGGCUAACUCCGUGCCAGCAGCCGCGGUAAUACGGAGGGUGCAAGCGUUAAUCGGAAUUACUGGGCGUAAAGCGCACGCAGGCGGUCUGUCAAGUCGGAUGUGAAAUCCCCGGGCUCAACCUGGGAACUGCAUUCGAAACUGGCAGGCUUGAGUCUUGUAGAGGGGGGUAGAAUUCCAGGUGUAGCGGUGAAAUGCGUAGAGAUCUGGAGGAAUACCGGUGGCGAAGGCGGCCCCCUGGACAAAGACUGACGCUCAGGUGCGAAAGCGUGGGGAGCAAACAGGAUUAGAUACCCUGGUAGUCCACGCCGUAAACGAUGUCUACUUGGAGGUUGUGCCCUUGAGGCGUGGCUUCCGGAGCUAACGCGUUAAGUAGACCGCCUGGGGAGUACGGCCGCAAGGUUAAAACUCAAAUGAAUUGACGGGGGCCCGCACAAGCGGUGGAGCAUGUGGUUUAAUUCGAUGCAACGCGAAGAACCUUACCUGGUCUUGACAUCCACAGAACAUUCCAGAGAUGGAUUGGUGCCUUCGGGAACUGUGAGACAGGUGCUGCAUGGCUGUCGUCAGCUCGUGUUGUGAAAUGUUGGGUUAAGUCCCGCAACGAGCGCAACCCUUAUCCUUUGUUGCCAGCGGUCCGGCCGGGAACUCAAAGGAGACUGCCAGUGAUAAACUGGAGGAAGGUGGGGAUGACGUCAAGUCAUCAUGGCCCUUACGACCAGGGCUACACACGUGCUACAAUGGCGCAUACAAAGAGAAGCGACCUCGCGAGAGCAAGCGGACCUCAUAAAGUGCGUCGUAGUCCGGAUUGGAGUCUGCAACUCGACUCCAUGAAGUCGGAAUCGCUAGUAAUCGUGGAUCAGAAUGCCACGGUGAAUACGUUCCCGGGCCUUGUACACACCGCCCGUCACACCAUGGGAGUGGGUUGCAAAAGAAGUAGGUAGCUUAACCUUCGGGAGGGCGCUUACCACUUUGUGAUUCAUGACUGGGGUGAAGUCGUAACAAGGUAACCGUAGGGGAACCUGC